AAAUUGAAGAGUUUGAUCAUGGCUCAGAUUGAACGCUGGCGGCAGGCCUAACACAUGCAAGUCGAACGGUAACAGGAAGCAGCUUGCUGCUUGGCUGACGAGUGGCGGACGGGUGAGUAAUGUCUGGGAAACUGCCUGAUGGAGGGGGAUAACUACUGGAAACGGUAGCUAAUACCGCAUAACGUCGCAAGACCAAAGAGGGGGACCUUCGGGCCUCUUGCCAUCGGAUGUGCCCAGAUGGGAUUAGCUAGUAGGUGGGGUAACGGCUCACCUAGGCGACGAUCCCUAGCUGGUCUGAGAGGAUGACCAGCCACACUGGAACUGAGACACGGUCCAGACUCCUACGGGAGGCAGCAGUGGGGAAUAUUGCACAAUGGGCGCAAGCCUGAUGCAGCCAUGCCGCGUGUAUGAAGAAGGCCUUCGGGUUGUAAAGUACUUUCAGCGGGGAGGAAGG
rnacentral:rRNA from 1 species